AACACUGUUAACCUGCGGUACCUGCGGAAGGAUCAUUACAGAGUUGCAAAACUCCCUAAACCAUUGUGAACGUUACCUAAACCGUUGCCUCGGCGGGCGGCCCGGGUCCUUCCCGGCGCCCAUCGGCCCUCGCGGGCGCCCGCCGGAGGUAAACCAAACUAUUGCAUUGUAUGGCCUCUCUGAGUCUUCUGUACUGAAUAAGUCAAAACUUUCAACAAUGGAUCUCAGAUCGGAAGAGCA
rnacentral:misc_RNA from 1 species